rnacentral:rRNA from 1 species
AACGAACGCUGGCGGCGGGCCUCAAACAUGCAAGUCUAGGGGGUGCAGCAAUGCAUCACCGGCGGACGGGUGCGUAACGCGUGGGAAUAUACCUAUUGGUUCGGAACAACUGCGGGAAACUGCAGCUAAUACCGAAUGUGCCCGCAAGGGGAAAGAUUUAUCGCCAAUGGAUUAGCCCGCGUAGGAUUAGCUAGUUGGUGGGGUAACGGCCCACCAAGGCUCCGAUCCUUAGCUGCUGAGAGGAAGAUCAGCCACACUGGGACUGAGACACGGCCCAGACUCCUACGGGAGGCAGCAGUUGGGAAUCUUGGACAAUGGGGGAAACCCUGAUCCAGCCAUGCCGCGUGAGUGAUGAAGGCCUUCGGUCGU